CAUAUAUUUUUCUGCAUUUUAGCAAACACCAUUGAGAAUCCCAUUGGCAGAUGCUUCUAGAGCCACAUAAGCAAAAAAAUUCCUAGAGUAUACUUCAACUUCUCCAAAGAGUAUUACAACUUUCAGGGCAAUGGGUAAGGCAGAAUGAAGCCUCUGGACCUUGGAGACUGAUGAACUGUACUUGUGCCCCACUUGUACAUGUUGUAGGCCAGGCAGCUUUCAGGGCAUAGAGAAGAAGGAUAACUGUAAGAUUACAGAGUUUUAUUCACUACAGAAACAGAUGACAAAACAAGAUGUACUAAGGAACCAACUAGAAGAUGGCUUUUUAAGUGCUGACUCGAAGUGAGUUUGGAAACAUCCCCAAUGAAAAAAUGAUGGCCAGAGGCCAGAAGCAUAGCUCAUUGAGAGAGACUACUUGGAAACCUUUGCAUCAGUGAACAGCAAGUUUUGCAAGUUUUUUCACUUCAUUUAAUAAAUUAAUUUUUACUUUAGCUGAAAUAACUUUUGAGAGUCAGUCUCUCUAGGCUUUUGAAAGGUCUUCUGUCAGUGAGCUCUUACUGAUAUCACUAACAGAAGAGCAAAUUCAUGCAGAAGGCAGCACAUUCCCUUGGCAAUACUGAGCCUGUUGGUCUUGUUGGUACCUUGGCCUCCCGAAUGGAAUGAUUUUUGUAU